UUACCAGGGUUUGACAUACAAGUAGUAGGGAAGGAAACUGGACGACCUUCGGGAGCUUGUACAGGUGCUGCAUGGCUGUCGUCAGCUCGUGUCGUGAGAUGUCGGUUAAGUCCGCUAACGAGCGCAACCCUCGCUGUGUGUUACAAGUGUCACACGGAACUGCCGGUCAUAAACCGGAGGAAGGUGGGGAUGACGUCAAGUCAGCAUGGCCUUUAUAUCCUGGGCUACACACACGCUACAAUGGGAAGGGACAAUAGGUUGCGAAGCCGCGAGGCGGAGCCAAUCCAGCAAAACUUCCCUCAGUUCAGAUUGCAGGCUGCAACCCGCCUGCAUGAAGUUGGAGUUGCUAGUAAACGCAGGUCAGCCAUACUGCGUUGAAUACGUUCCCGGGGCUU
rnacentral:rRNA from 1 species